GCCAGUAUGGUGGAUAUGAUUCUCGGCUUGUAACCGAGUGAGCUUGGGUUCGAAUCCCGAAUAAGGCA
rnacentral:tRNA from 1 species